ACCAGGCCUCCUCUCCGGCCAGCGGCGGCGCGCGCGCGGACUCCGGCGACCCCCGCCGCCGCGAUAGGACGAAGUACAAGGUCGCCAUGGCCGUGGACGUAGCCUCACCGCCAUGGAAGGAGGCGGCUGGCUGGAGCUUCUCAUCCGGCUCUUCGAGCGCAGGGGUCGUAUCCGCCGCUGCGACGGCGAGCCGCGGGCGGGCCUCUUCUCCGGCUCUCGUCGGCCCCCUAUACCCGCUUCCCGGUAAGCGUCCGCGCCCACACGGCUCCACCUCUCCCUUCCCUCCCUAACAGCUGAACAGGAACCUGCAGAAAUGGAGAUCGAAUUUGUCUUCAACUAACACAAAGCAUAGCUACGAAAUGGCACACUUUUUUUUUUUGAGAUGCACUUGAUAGUGCAGUGGCAAGGGGUGUGUAGUUUCAACCAUAAGGUUCCGUGUUCAAUCCCCAACACGCUCACAAUUUCUUCUUAAAAAUUGUUUGGAGGGACAUGUUUUGAUGAGAUCUGCAUUACCUGAAUCCUUUUCUGCAUGAUGCUAUCCAGUAGGCUAAUCUGAAUAUGCAUGAUGCUAUCCAGUAGGCUAAUCUGAAUAUGCAUGAUGCUAUCCAGUAGACUAAUCUGAAUACUAGGACAGGAUAGUGCCAUGGCUUGACUUUUAUUGUGACAUAAGGCUUGACUUUUGGUUGUGGUAAAUCUGAAAAACCGAACUAAUUUUGCGUUUUGAGUUCACUUAGAAGGUUGGGAGCUCACCGGGUACACAUCUUUUUCAAAUGAUAUUUGCAUGACAUCGGUACUACUGUGUUGCUAACAGGUCAAAUAUGUUGCUGAUCUAGCAUUUUGUAUCGACAAAAGUCCAACAGCAGUGGUAAUCAAUUCGUACGUAGCAUCGUUUUGACCUUAUUGAUCAUCGGCUUUUUGACCAUAUGAGGGAUUACUUUCACAUGGACUGUUGAAAGAUUUUUUUUCCCUUCAUUUAAUAUGCAAAAAGAACUUUUUUUUUCUCGCCAAACUUAUAUUAUGGCUAAUUCAUGUUUAAUUUGUAAGGUUGGGUCGAUGGUAAGUUUGGUCAAAUUCUUCAGAGAAAUUAAAAGUUUUAAAAAGAAAAACCAAACAACAAAAAACAUUAUGUUUAUCCAAAUAGGUUACAAUAUUCUGCUGGUAACUACUUCCUCCGUUUCACAAUGUAAGUCAUUCUAGCAUUCCCCACAUUCAUAUUGGUGUUAAUGAAUCUAUCUAGAUUCAUUAUGAAUGUGGGGAAUGCUAGAAUGACUUACUGUGGGGAAUGCUAGAAUGACUUACAUUGUGAAACGGAGGGAGUAGUAAAGAAUUAGCAGCUUGAUAUAAUAUUUAAGACAACUCCCUCUUACAUCUUACCUGACCCAUGGUUCACAUCCAUCCAAAAAGGAAGGAUCCUCCUUUUGGUUAUCCAUCUCUGGUGGACAAACAUCAGUUGGCUUCUGUUGCUAAUCUAUGUCAUGAUUUUAAUUCUUUUGUAGCUGAUAGCUACUUCUACCAAGGACGUACUUUUGUUUGAAAAUUAUUAAGGUUGCAAAUCCUGUCCGGCAGGCUUCCUGUCUUAAUUAUUCUCUGAAGAACAGCAGUUUCACACCUCCUGAGUUAAGCCUUUUCACUGGUAAUAAAUAAGCAUUAGAAGAAGUUGACAUUGCCCUAGUUGAAUUCCAAAAGCUAAAAUUGCAUUUGCGUCUUCUAUUGUUAACCCAAACUCUCAGAAUCCAAGAAGCUAGAUAGCAAGCAAGCAUGGGGAGAGGCAGCGAGAUGCAUGGCCAAUGUUUGUUCAUCAUCGUUUUCCUCAUCCAUUCUGUCCAUGUCCUCCCCGGGUGCAUAGCUCAGUCUAGUGAUGAGCAAACACUGCUUGCAUUCAAGGCCGCCAUCUCCGGUGACCCAAACGGGGUUCUUGAUACAUGGGUCACUACCAAGGGAAGCAUGAAUGCCACAGACAGCAUCUGCCGGUGGCGCGGUGUGUCGUGCCGAUCCAGGCAGCACCCUGGUCGUGUGACAGCGCUGGAGCUCAUGUCAUCCAACUUGAUGGGUGUGAUAAGCCCAAGUCUGUCCAAUCUUUCCUUCCUCCACACACUCAACCUCUCUGGCAACCGUCUCACUGGUGGCAUCCCGUUGGAGCUUGGCCAGCUACCUCGCAUACGGGUCAUCAGCCUUGGUGGGAAUUCUCUGAUCGGUAACAUACCUGUGUCUCUCACCAAUUGUGCUCGACUCACACAUCUCGAGUUACCACGGAAUGGAUUGCAUGGUGAGAUUCCAGCGAACUUCAGCAACUGCAGGGAACUCCGGGUGUUCAAUAUCAGUGCGAACAGCCUGUCUGGUGGCAUCCCCGCAUCAUUCGGGUCACUGUCGAAGCUUGAGUUCUUGGGCCUGCAUCGGAGCAACCUCAUCGGCGGCAUCCCACCAUCAUUGGGUAACAUGUCCUCACUGUUAGCUUUUGAUGCCAGUGAGAAUUCCAACCUUGGAGGUAGCAUACCUGACACUCUGGGUAGACUCACAAAGCUGAACUUUCUGAGGUUAGCUUUUGCUGGUCUUGGAGGGGCAAUUCCAUUCUCGUUGUAUAACAUUUCAUCCCUUACUGUACUUGACUUGGGAAACAAUGAUCUGUCUGGUAUGCUGCCGCCUGACUUCGGCAUCACCCUCCCGAGAAUCCAGUUUCUUAAUCUGUACAACUGUCGGCUCCAAGGAAGCAUCCCACCAUCGAUAGGAAAUGCGACGAAACUCCGUCGGAUCCAGCUUCAGAGCAACGGUCUGCAGGGAAUUGUGCCACCUGACAUUGGUAGGCUGAAGGAUCUCGAUAAGCUGAACCUUCAGUUCAACCAGUUGGAGGACAAGUGGGACAAGGACUGGCCACUGAUGGCUGCCUUAGGGAAUUGCAGUAGGCUUUUUGCACUGAGCCUCUCAAGCAAUAAGUUUGAAGGUGAUCUGCCGGCUUCUCUUGUCAACCUCACAAUUGGAAUAGAGAAAAUCUUUAUGAAUGAAAACAGGAUAAGCGGUGCCAUUCCCUCGGAGAUUGGCAAGUUCAGAAAUCUUGAUGUUCUUGCUCUUGCUGACAAUGCACUGACGGGCACCAUACCAGACACAAUUGGUGGUCUCAGCAGCAUGACCGGGCUAGAUGUCUCAGGCAAUAACAUAUCCGGUGAAAUCCCGCCAAUGCUGGUUGCAAACCUUUCUAAGCUCGCUUUCCUGGACCUAUCAGAGAAUGACAUGGAGGGAAGCAUACCUCUGAGCUUUGAGAGAAUGAGCAGUAUUGCAAUCCUGGACUUGUCUUACAAUCAGUUCAGUGGCAUGUUACCGAAACAAGUUCUGAGCCUCUCGUCUCUAACCUUGUUCCUGAACUUGUCUCACAACACUUUCUCAGGUCCAAUUCCUUCAGAAGUUGGCAGAUUAAGCAGCCUUGGGGUUCUCGACUUGUCAAACAAUAGGCUGUCUGGAGAGAUACCACAGGCGCUAGCUGGGUGUCAAUCGAUGGAGUACUUGUUUCUGCAAGGAAACCAAUUUGGUGGCAGAAUUCCCCAAUCUCUUGUAUCUCUGAAAGGGCUUCAACACCUUGACAUGUCACAGAAUAACUUGUCUGGUCCAAUUCCAGAUUUCCUUGCAACUUUUCAGUACUUGCGAUACUUAAACUUGUCCUACAACCAGCUUGAUGGACCGGUGCCAACAACUGGAGUGUUCAAUGCUACGAAAGACUUCUUUGUUGGUGGUAACAGAGUUUGUGGUGGUGUUUCAGAGUUGCAGCUACCGAAAUGUCCUGAUCGCGCUGGUAAGGGCUCACAUAGAUCAAGAACUGUGCUGAUUGUGUCAGUUUCUGUUGGAUCUUUCGUGGCUCUAGUCCUCAUCGCAGGCGCCCUUUUUGUAUGUGUUCUGAAGCCAAUGAAACAGGUUAUGCAGAGUAAUGAGACAUCUCCUCGACCAUUAUUGAUGGAGCAACACUGGAAAUUAUCCUAUGCAGAACUACAUAGGGCUACUGACGGGUUCUCUGCAGCUAACCUGAUUGGUGUUGGAAGCUUUGGCUCAGUGUACAAAGGAGUUGUAGGCUCUGAAGAGGAGGAAGUCGCAAUAAAAGUCCUGAAUCUUCUGCAGCAUGGAGCCGAGCGGAGUUUCUUGGCUGAGUGUGAGGCGCUAAGAAGUGUUCGGCAUCGCAAUCUUGUAAAGAUCAUCACAGCCUGUUCGACCGUGGAUCACUAUGGUAAUGAUUUCAAAGCUUUGGUGUAUGAGUUCAUGCCUAACAGGGACCUGGACAAAUGGCUCCAUCCGACCAUUGAUGAUGAUGAUGAGAGUUUCUCACGGGUGUUAACCAUGUCUGAAAGACUGAGGAUUGCGCUGGAUGUUGCUGAAGCUCUCGAUUACCUGCACCGCCAUGGCCAAGUGCCCAUUGUUCACUGUGAUCUGAAGCCAAGCAAUGUCCUUCUUGACAAUGACAUGGUCGCCCAUGUAGGGGACUUUGGGCUGUCACGGUUUGUGCUGGGAACAAACAACAAUUCCAUACAGUAUUCUAGUAUUUCAGCUGGGAUCAAAGGCACUGUCGGAUAUAUUCCUCCAGAAUAUGGAAUGGGUGGUGAAAUUUCAGUGGAGGGGGAUGUCUACAGUUACGGAAUCCUGCUGCUUGAGAUGUUCACUGCAAAGAGGCCAACAGAUGAUUUGUUUCAGGGAAGUAGAAGCAUCCGCAGCUAUGUUGCAACGGCUUAUCCUGACAGGGCCAUGGAGAUUGUUGAUCAAGCAAUGUUGCAGCUUAAAGAGAAAGAUAUGUUUGAAAAGAAGACCGAAGGAUGUAUAAUGUCAGUUCUCAGAGUGGCGCUGCAAUGUACAGAGGACUCCCCGAGAGCAAGGAUGCUCACAGGAUAUGUCAUCAGAGAGCUAAUUUCUGUGAGGAAUACUUAUGAAGAUACAGUGGAUUAUCCAUGAUCAACCAGAUUAUUCUGAUGGCAACUUGGUGCUUGCAUUUCCCUGAAAUGAGCACUAAUGAAGUAAUUUCCAACCAAACAAUUUCAACUCUUCAAAUCUGCAAGGUUAGCUGCACCUGCCAAACGAACAAACCAGGAGGUGUUUGAUUAAUCUGGGUUUUGCAUGGAUUAGCACCUGAAGCUGUACUACCUUGCAUAAACAAUGGUCAAUGCACAUGCUCCUGGAAAGCAAAGAAAUGGCAGACACCGCGCUCAAUAACAGUUAGAGAAGGGAGAUUCAGCGGUCGGACAAGCAAGUCAAGGGUGGUCGGAUUAGCGAUAACAAGGCGAUUAGACCAGGGUUUACACUACCGUCGGUAACCGCGCGGUUACCGCCCUUACCGCGGG